CAACCAAAUACAUGCCCCUUUCGUGCAUUGCAGUAAUAGUUGAACGCCAUUGAUCGAUAGUUCCUAAAUGGUGAUCAAGAAUAGUGUAAUCCAAAGGAGAAUAUUGAUCAGCUCCCCAGGGCAUAUUGACAAAUGGAGUACCAGCAAUAUAAAUACCUUGUGUACCUAAACCUUCAAGAUAAUCCAAUGAUAACUCGAGCCCAACGAUAUCACCGCCAUUACGAAAACUGACUUCCGAAAUAUCAUAUUCAAAUGGAGUUUUUUCAAUAUCAUUAUUGGAUGGAUCACCAUCAUACCAACGAUCCAAAAUUACAGUAAUAAAACUCAUUCGCCAGUUAUCAGGGCUUGGAAAGAAAUCAUGAUCUGCCCAUUCACCAGAAUACUCCAAAACACUGGAAGCGUUUUUGUUUUGAUUUAAAUUCCAAGGCUCUUCAUCCUCGGAAUAUGGAGCAGCAAAUACGGAAUGAAAAAGAAGAAGUGCUAAAGCAAUAACAGCUCUUCUAAAACAUAACCCUUGAAGACCAUGCAUAAGAAAGACUCAAUAAAUGUGACUAGCUGUACGUACGGCAAAAAGAUAAAAAAAUAAAAUGAGGAUGUAAACGA